rnacentral:rRNA from 1 species
AUAAUGGAUAUACUAUAAUUUCUUACUAGUAAGUUACACGAAUAUGGGCGAGCUAAAAAGCUAAAUAUGUUAGUGUAUAAGAUAAAUGUAACAAUAUUUAUUAUAUAUAGUUUUUUAGGGUUGAUAGGUCUAACAAGCCCAUAAAUAUCUUGAUAGGUAAGAAACAUAUGUAGUAUACACUUAUAUCAAAAAUGUCAAGGUUUUUGAUAAGUAUCAUAUUUUAUGAAAUAAGUUCUAUUUGGUUAAUAUCUAUAGGUUUAAAUAUUUUAUUAUGGGGUAAUAAGUGGUUAUACUUUAUAUUACCAAAUUAAUCUGAAUUUAUUUAUUAAACUAUAAUGUAUAUAUUAGUAUUAUAAUAGAGUUUAAAUAAAGGAACUCGGCAAAAGAUUUUUCGACUGUUUAUCAAAAACAUAGCACUAAGUUAGUAUUUAGGGUUAACCCUGCUCAAUGGCAUAACUAAAUAGCCGCAGUACCUUGACUGUGCAAAGGUAGCAUAAUCAAUUGGCUUAUAAUUGAAGUCUAGUAUGAAUGGGCACACGGAAAUUGACUGUCUUUAUUGUAAGGUAUAGAAUUUACUAAAUAAGUGAAAAUUCUUAUAUACAGAAAUUAGACGAGAAGACCCUAGAAAUUUUAUAAACAUAUAAUAUAACUAUUUUGUUGGGGCGACAAGGUAACAUUAAAACUUACAUAUAAUUUAUAAGAAAAUAUUUAUUAGUAUAACUAAAUUACUCUAGGGAUAACAGCACUAUUUAAUAUUAAGAUUGUGACCUCGAUGUUGGACUAGGACCUAUUCUGUACAAAAAAUAGAAUAUUUGGCUCUGUUCGAGCUUUUUUUCCUACAUGAUCUGAGUUCA